UACGGAGGGGGCUAGCGUUGUUCGGAAUUACUGGGCGUAAAGAGCGUGUAGGCGGCCCGACCAGUCCGCUGUGAAAGUCCAGGGCUCAACCCUGGAAUGCCGGUGGAUACUGUCGGGCUAGAGUCCGGAAUGGGCGAGUGGAAUUCCUGGUGUAGCGGUGAAAUGCGCAGAUAUCAGGAGGAACACCAAUGGCGAAGGCAGCUCGCUGGGACGUGACUGACGCUGAGACGCGAAAGCGUGGGGAGCAAACAGG
rnacentral:rRNA from 1 species